rnacentral:rRNA from 1 species
CCUACGGGGUGCAGCAGUGGGGAAUAUUGCACAAUGGGGGAAACCCUGAUGCAGCGACGCCGCGUGAGCGAGGAAGUAUUUCGGUAUGUAAAGCUCUAUCAGCAGGGACGAAAAAAGACGGUACCUGACUAAGAAGCCCCGGCUAACUACGUGCCAGCAGCCGCGGUAAUACGUAGGGGGCAAGCGUUAUCCGGAUUUACUGGGGGGACAGGGAGCGUAGAAGGCAAGGCAAGCCAGAAGUGAAAGGGCAGGGCUCAACCCUGUACAUGCUUGUGGGAAUGUGGUGCUAGAGUGAAGGAGAGGUAAGUGGAAUUCGUGGUGUAGCGGUGAAAUGCGUAGAUAUUAGGAGGAACACCAGUGGCGAAGGCGGCUUACUGGACUGUAACUGACGUUGAGGCUCGAAAGCGUGGGGAGCAAACAGGAUUAGAUACCCCGGUAGUC